rnacentral:rRNA from 1 species
GACGAACGCUGGCGGCGUGCUUAACACAUGCAAGUCGAACGGAAAGUCCCUGCUUUUGUGGGGUGCUCGAGUUGCGAACGGGUGAGUAACCCGUGAGUAACCUGCCCUUGACUUUGGGAUAACUUCAGGCAACUGGGGCUAAUACCGGGUAGGAGCUCCUGCUGCAUGGUUGGGGUUGGAAAGUUUCGGCGGUUGGGGAUGGACUCGCGGCGUAUCAGCUUGUUGGUGGGGUAGUGGCUUAGCAUGGCUUUGACGGGUAGCAGGGCUGAGAGGGGGACCGGACACACUGGGACUGAGAUAAGGCACAGACUACUACGGGAGGGAGCGGAGGGGAAUAUUGUACAAUGGGCGGAAGCCUGACGCAGCAACGCCACGUGCGGGAUGACGGCCAUCGGGUUGUAAACCGCUUUCGCCUGUGACGAAGAGUGAGUGACGGUAAUGGGUAAAGAAGCACCGGCUAACUACGUG